GCCAGAGCGCCGCAUCAGGGACUGCUGACCUUCGGGGAUGUGGCCAUAGAAUUCUGUGAGGAGGAGUGGGGAUGCCUGAACCGCAGCCAGCGGGAACUGUACAGGGAUGUGAUGUUAGAGAACUACGGACACCUCCUCUUCUUGGGUCUUAUUGUGUCAAAGCCAGACCUGGUCAUCUUUCUGGAACAAAAGAAGGACGUCUGGGAUGUGAGGAGAAAGGAGACAG